CCAACGCGACCCCAGUCAGGCGG
rnacentral:rRNA from 1 species